GAGAUCUACAGUACCCUCACUCCUUCUCCUGCCCUUGGGGGAACAUUUACAGCCAGCACAGGGUUUCUCUGCAGCCGCCAGUUGUCUCUGCAGGUGUAGCACUGAUUUUCGUCACAGCUUAGUCAUCCGGGAACCGGUGCUGUCUCUUUUUUUAUUUUUUAAGUGUACGCUGUUAGCCCUGAUCUAAGGGACCAUCCCACCACUCCUUGAGAGUGAAAGCCCAGUGAUUGGAGUGUGGCUAGUGUGAAGAGGAUGGCCUGACGUUAAGACUGUUGAGGUAAUCAUCACCGGCACUCGUGCACCUGCCUCGAAAUCAAUUGAGACAUUUUAGGUUUGGCUGCGGUCUUGCUUGCUGUUGAUUAUCUGUCUCGAUCUCUAAUCUGCUAAAAGAACUCUCAUCUCAAGAUCUUGGGAUCUGAAAAAUGCAUCAACAGCGAGCUCGCUGCCACCCAGGCCUCUAUGUGAGCCUCCCUCCGUGUUCAACAAACAUUUCACAUCUACUAGGACUCAAGCCGCUCAACAUCCUCCUGGUCAUCCAAGCCCCUCCACUUAGUGGACCGUACAUUCCUCAACCAGCAAACAUAUCUGCUUUUCUCAGAUCACACCGCUCUCCUUUGCCCCCCGGUGCCAUUUCAGCCUCCACCCUCCAGUACCUGAUUUCUGCCUCAUUUCCAGCUUUUCCUUCUCCAGCAGACAGCGGAGACGCUGCAAAGACGCUGACACUGACCCAUAAUUCCAUCCCAGAUCCCUCCAUGGCAAAAUAACUGACAUGGUUCAGAGACAUUCUGACUAAUCAUCCCUCCACACCAAUAAAUAUAUUCUCCUGU